UUUGUAAAAUGUGGAGGCUUGGGUUUGUUCACUAACUUGUCGGCUGGUGGGACACUCCCUACUUCUCCCGUUUAAGUUGAAUUUUAAUUGUGUUUACAUGAUACAACACUGUACUUGCUUCUUUGCACAGCGUAUCAGUUUGCAAAAGCCUCUGUUUUUCAGGAUGGUUGUUCAUUUAAAGGAGGGCCUAAACCAAAGUGCAUCUUUAUAGUAUUUGUGGAUUAAUCCCACAGAAGGAGUGUAGAUGCGCUCUUAAUACUUUCUUCCUAGUUCCAUAAAAAGGGCUUUAAUUGGGGGGCAGGCCGCUGUGUAAGUUUGUCCAGAAAUGUGUUUGAGUCGUAUCCACCGUGUCCCUGGUGAGUAAAGAUCAAUACUAAGGUAAUAUUUUUAUUAAUUGCUAAAGACUGUUGUUUGCUUUUAAUAGAAAGGUGCGUCUCUGUUGGAACUAUCCCUGGAGUCAUCCACAAAAUGCAGUGAACCACCACCAGAGGGAGCCCUGAUUCUAACGUCAGAACACAAGGAUCCAUAAUCAUCGUCAUCUCUGCUAAGAGGUCUACAGCUACAAUGACAGAUGAUCCACAGACCUCUGAUCCAAAAACAUUCCUGGAGUGUGGCCCAUCAGAUGCUGUCGCCCAUAUGAGAGGAAGAGGUGAACGAGGCCUGGUCCAAUAAGAGACUCGGGCCAACACAAGGGAGAAGGCCUUCAGUCUGUGUAAUCUGCUGUGACUCUGAAGUUCAGUCUAAUCAAAACUAAAGCACCACUCCUGAUGAAGAUCUCCAG